GCGAUCCUCCCAAGUCAGCCUCCAAGAUAGCUGGGAUUACAGGUUUGCACCACCACUCCUAGCUAAUUUUUUAUUAACAUCUUUGUAGGGACAGGAUUUUGCCAUAUUGCCCAGGCUGGUCUCAAACUCCUGGGCUCAAGCAAUCCACUAUCCUCGGCCUCCCAAAGUACUGGGGUUACAGACAUGAGCCACCACGCCCGGCCCUUUUUAAAUCCAUCUUCCAUGAGCUAACACUCUCUUUCCCUUUCCAGAUUGACUGGGGCGACUUUGGGGUAGAGGCAGUGUCUGAGGGGACUGACUCUGGCAUCUCUGCUGAGGCUGCUGGAAUCGACUGGGGCAUCUUCCCGGAAUCAGAUUCAAAGGAUCCUGGAGGUGAUGGGAUAGACUGGGGAGACGAUGCUGUUGCUUUGCAGAUCACAGUGCUGGAAGCAGGAACCCAGGCUCCAGAAGGUGUUGCCAGGGGCCCAGAUGCCCUGACACUGCUUGAAUACACUGAGACCCGGAAUCAGUUCCUUGAUGAGCUCAUGGAGCUUGAGAUCUUCUUAGCCCAGAGAGCAGUGGAGUUGAGUGAGGAGGCAGAUGUCCUGUCUGUGAGCCAGUUCCAGCUGGCUCCAGCCAUCCUGCAGGGCCAGACCAAAGAGAAGAUG
rnacentral:sRNA from 1 species